AAAUCCUUCAUCACCUCCAGUCCAACGAGCGGCGAUCUUCCUGUCUGGCAAGCGGCGAUCUUCCUGUCCGGCGAGCGUCUUCCUGUCCGACGAGGCUUCCUGUCCGCCGACGAGCAACUUCCGUUCAUUCCAGACAACUUCCGUUCAUUCCAUUUCAAUCCUUCAUCACCUCCAGUUCAUUCCUGUCCGCCGACGAGCAACUUCCAGGUAAGUUCAUCACCUCCAGUCCAUUCCAUUCCGUUUAUCUUUUCUUCAAAUUGCAAUUAUCUAUUCUUCCUGUCAAUUAUCACACAAAAUUAUAUCCGUUCAAUGAAGACUUCAAAAUUAUAUCACACAAAAAUUAUUCUAUUUCAAUCAAUGAAUCUAUAGAUUGAUCGAUUAAUUUUCAUUUUUAUUAUCAAUAAUUAAAGUGAAAAUAAUAAUACUAUAAUACCACUACAAUGAGGAAGGUGUAUUGGAAUUUAAAGAAAAAGAAAAGAAGGCAGAGGCAAAUCAUGUUGGUUAGAUCAUGACCAAGAUUGGCAGACAUCAGGUGGAUCCAAAACCAGAUCUGCCUAAGAAUUUGUAUUUUUCUUCAUCUCUGAAAAUUUAAAGGAAAAAAGAAAAAAUGUACAACCGC
rnacentral:lncRNA from 1 species